CAGGUGGAAGACGCCGUUUGCGCAGCCUGCAGAGGAGGUUUGCCCAGCCUGCGGACAAGGAUUGUUCAGCCUGUCGACAAGGACACAGAGAAAGCUUUCUUGGAGGGAAUCGACAAAACUGGAAGAAAAGGAAAGAGCACGCUGCUCUUGCAGAGGCUGCAAAAAGACAGCGUCUUGGGCUAGCAAGCUUCGUGGAAGGGAUCUCUGUACUCCACACUUUGUCUACUGUGUCCUCAUCCACGCUCACCACCCGCCACCCCUUGCUGCUGGCAAUCCCCGUGCAUCCCAGGCGCUGAAGGAGUGAGGUGUGCGAUGAGCCUCGAUGAAGGUGGAACAGGGUCUGGUCCAGGGCCACCGUUAGCCAGGACACAGCUUCUCCUUGUUGGUGAAGUACAGCUACACGCAUUCAGUGGCCCUAAAACUAAAAAAUACCAGCAGCAGUCCUUCGCAUGUGGAGUGCAUACUUGAGUCCCCGGCGGCCUCUCCCACUUGCUCCCCUUCCCUUCCAGGCCGCUUGCUUCAAGCAGCAUGACAAUCUGCAGAUCCAUCCGUGUUGCUGCAGAUGGCAUUUCAUUUUUUGUGGCUGAAUAGUAUUCCAGCAUGUGUGUGUUUAUGUAUCUGUAUGCGUGUGUGUGUGUAUGUGUACAUACAUACAUGUAUGUACACACAAACAACUUCUGUAUCCAGUCCUAUCAUUGGACAUUUAGGCUGCUUUGGCGUCUUGGCUGUUGUACAUAGAUCAGCUCUACCUUUUAUUGGCUGUUUAACACUGGACAACCUCUCUGAUUCUCUAACUCCAACUCCAUUUGCCUAAUGACGCCUACUUCAGAGUGCCACAGGAAAGAUGGCAGGGAUGAUGUCCAGUUUUGGGGGCAUGUCUGGCUAGAAGUAAAUGCUCAGAAGUGUUAGUUCCUUCCUCCUUCCUUCCUGCCUUGCUCCAGGCUCUAGGGACUACAGGCUAGACCUCCCAUUCUGGAUUUCUCUCAGUUUCGGAAGGCCAUGCUCCCAUUCUGGUCUUAUGCAGACAGAGUGGCCUGGAGCCAUUCAAGGUGUAAAAGGGUCGUUUGUCCCAGGGACCUCCCUCCUUCCCAUCCUGCAGGUUAGAGAACAUCUCACGGAGCUGGAGGUACAAACCGACGCACUGUGAAGGACUGUCAGUGCAGGAGGACCGAGGAUCGGUUCUCUGGGGCCAGAAGUACCUGGUGCAGCUAAACUGAACGUAGUGCUUCCCUAGCCCUUCGGUUUCACUCCCCGUGUUUUUCAGGGUAUGAAGUACAGAAAGGGGCACUUUUUAAAUACUCAUUGUGGGCUUAGUCUGGAAAAUGCAGUUGUUAGGUCGGAGAAACGCCCUCUGAAUCUGAGAUGCCACGUUAAAGUCUCCUGUAACUUACAUUUGCAGUGAACUACAGUUUCUUUGUGUACAGAAACACAGGAAAAUCUGUCACGGAGACUUUCUCCUAGUAAGUGCCAUUUCAAUAGAAUGCCCGAAGCUCAGGAGGAGUAGCACUCCAAGGAAUUUUUUUUCCCAUAAAUGGAAAGUUUAUACGGAACCACACUUGGCAGGGAAUUCAAAAGCCAUUGUAGUUAGGUAGAAAAUGGGAAAUACCUAUUUCUAUAUCUAUUAUAAUCUUGACUCAAAAUCUAACAUCAGUGACUGCACCCAGCACCCACCCAGCAGGCCACCCGACUGGGAGACAGACCCACAGACUCUACUUUGGCAAAUUCUACUUUAUAAAGCACAGUUUUCCAAGCGCCUGACACACACCUGGUAAGAGGACAUGGUUGGGUAGGAGACCAUCACGCUCUGCACGGGAGCCCCCUGUGGGCUGCUCAGCACGCCCUGACUGGGAGGUGACUGCUGCACCCCCACGAGGCCUUGGAACCCCUGCUGACCAGACAGCACCGGCUGGUAACCUGUGAAGAGAAAAGCACCUUUUGAACUGGUUGUGCCAAGAAGAAUGAAGACAGUAUCGUUUGGGAGAUUUCCAAACAGCCUGUCAACGUAGGACGCAUUCUAUUUCCGAGGCCCUACUGAACAGUCUCCUGAGGACAUUCUGGCAAAACACUCCACUAAACGACCAUGGCCAUAUACUAGAUAAUACAGAAUACAGCAGUUAAAGACUGUGUCUGUUCAUUUCCAUCCAGUGGGCCAACUGAAAUACUGCGGAACCAAGGCCGGCGAAUAGUCACUGAAUUAGAGCAGACCAAGAGUGGGGACUAGCCCCGUGGGGAAGCCCGCCCGUGCCCGCACUGAUACCCCACUCUAAUUCAUGUAUCCACUGACCCUGAAAAAUGGCUGUUGCUGUUUUACCGUUACGAAGACAUUUUUUUCUGGGCACGUCCAAUUCACUGGCGCAAGAACUGUUACGUACGUAAGAAAAUACCUCGGUCUGAAUGCACGUGCCCGACAGCCCUCCUCCCCGCUUCCUGGGGGGCAGCAGAGAGCAGGCGUGUGAGCACACUCUCACGUCUGUGCAUUGGACAACAGAAGGGAGCCUUAUUUCUGGCUGAAGAUUCAAGUUAAAACAAUGAAGGAGAGAGGACAAGAGUUAUGACCCACAGUCUGUUGAACAAGAUCUUGCUAGUGUUGAAGAACAAAAGAAAAUUGAAGCUACUAGGACCAUUUAAAACAAUGGCCCUCCACACAAUUGUUGAAGACCGUCUAUACUCCGGAUUGUUUUCUCAACGUGCUCUCCAAAUACCACGUUAAAGAAAUACUUACCUGCACAGGAAAUGUAACAUCAGUUCUGUUACGUGACUGCAGAAGGCAACCGGCUGCCCCCACCCCGGGAAAGUCAGUGGGCCUUUGGAGACAAAAAGAGCCUUGAUGGUAGGUGAAAGAAGACAUACAGAAACUGCAAAGCCACCUGGCCUGUCACGUAGAGGCCUGGAGAAGUCACGACCCCCUGGCCACUGAGAGAUGGCUGUACUCUGGGAGUUCAGAGACUGCGCUCAUCAUCUUGCUAAUUCUGUGAACACCAUGGAUUCGUUCCCCAGCUUACGGCUUUACGAGGGCAGUGUCUCUGCGACAGGGGGCCUCUCUGGCUUCAUCUGCCUGCAGCACCUCAGCGCUCCCAGGAGCGCUGGCGGCGGGGAGUAGAUACGCUGUAUGAUGUCACAGUGUCUCUGGCUUCCUGGAAGAGGUACCACCCACCAGACGUUUCAGAGAAGCGGACUCGGGAUGCUGGAUGCCCUCAUGUGGAGGGCAGACACCCGGACAGCUCCACAGGCACAGAGGCCUCCCAGAGCCCGGGGGUCCGCGGCCCCAAGGCAGGCCCCCGACUCCUGGGCCUUCACACGCUGUCCUCCUGCUCCUCGGAGCUGGCUCCCAGAGUGGAGGUUAAGUGGGGUCAGCUCUGAAAAGCAAGGGCAAACAUGAGAGACACCGUUAAAUGACUACAGGAAUGGAUCAUGCACAGAAUUUCAAUGAAUGCCUCUGAGGGACACCAGCACUGAAUUCCAUUUUAAAUGGAAGAGGCUGUCAUAUUAUUGAAGUAAUUCUCUGAACUUUCCUGGCCCCGAGUGCUGUGCUGACAGCCAGAGAGCUUCCACAACCCAGAGGGAGAAGAGCUGCAUGAAAGACUCACAGGCUUUCUACCUUCCUAAUGAGGCUGUGUGGUUUGGAGGACCAGGUGGCAUUCUCGCGUGUCUGCACCUCUUCCGGUGUUAAUUACGGACACACUUACCCGGGGCCGGGUGGCAGCAAACUGUUGUUGAGGCACCUGGAGGUGUUCUUUCCCUGGACUAAGGUGGGGGCAAAGUCAAGACGGAGCUGACGCUUUUAAUUCCCCACAGUCACACUCCCUCUGAUGGAUGAUUUCAGUGACACAAUGCUUUUGAUCUGCUGCUAGAACAGGAUAAUCAUGAGGUCAGAAGUCACGGGGUCGAGAUUUCUGGUCAAGAUGGCAGAGCAGUAGGACCAUGAGCUCGUCUCUCCCCUUGUGACUGCGACAAAACCACAACUGACUGUUAAACAACCAUGGGAAGAAAAAGACUGGAACCUAGCAAAAAAGAUCCUCUUGAACUGGAAACAUAAAGAGGGAACCACAGUGGAACAGCAGGAGAGGUGCGCUUGUGAUAUAACCGGGCCCCAUUCCCCCCGGGUGGGCGACCCACAAGCUGAAGAGUAUUGAGGUCACAGAGGCCUCCCACAGGAGAGCGCUGAGCCCCCAGUCAGGCUCCCCAGCCCAGGGGAGCAUUGGGAGGGGAGACCCCGGAACAGCUGGUUUUGAAGGCCAGGGGGCCUUAGCUCUAGGAGCCCCACUGGACUUGGGGGAACAGAAUUCAUUCUCUGAGGAAGUGCACACACCAUCUCACGCGUGCCAGGUCUAAGGGCAGAGGCAGUGAUUUUAUAGGUACCUGGGCCAGAAAUGCCAGCUGGUUUUGUGAAGUCUCCUGGGGAGGUAGGGGACGGCUGUGGCUCACCCAGGGGACAUAAAAGCUGGUGGCAGACAUUCCGAGUGUGUUCAUCUACAUGAGCUUUCCUGGAGGCUGACAUCUUGCUUGGGUCAUUAGCGCCAGGACCUAGCCCCAUCCAACAGCCUGUAGGCUUAAGGGCUGGGAAACCUCAGGCCAAACAACAUACUGGGUGGGAACACAGCCCCCCCCCCCCCCCAUCAGCAGACUUCCUGAGCCACAAACGCCUCUAGACACACCCCAACUCCUCCUGCCAGGAAACCUGCACAAGCCUCUAGUCCAGCCUCACCCACCAGGGGGAAGAUACCAGAAAUAAGAAAACAGCCACCCCACAGCCUGUGGAAUUACCCACAAACACAGGCCUGACUCUGCCCUGGCCCUUGGGUGACAAGAGGGGAGUGUAUGUACUGCUGGGACACACAGGGCAUCUCUCACAAGAGGGCCACUUCUCCACAAGGUUGAGAAGUGGAACUGACCUACCUAGAAAUACAGAUAGGAAGUUAGACAAGAUGAGGCACAGAGGAACAUCUCCCAGGCCGAGGCACAAGAUAAAAUCCCGGAAGAGGAAAUGAGGGAUGAGGAGGCAAGCCCUCUGUCUGAGAGAGAGAGAGUGUAGAGUUAUGAUGGUGAAGAUGUUAAGAGAACUCAGGAGGAGCAGAUACACACAGAGUAAAGUUUUUAGCAAAGAGUUGAAAAACAUAAAUAAUACCCAGAGUUGAGGAGUAAAAUUACUGAAAUGAGUAACACAGUAGAAGAAACCAAGAAUAGACUAAAUGAGGCAGAAGAACAGAUCAAUGAGCUCGAAGACAGAUUAGUGGAAAUAACUACUGCAGAACAGAAAAAAGAAUAAAAAGAAAUGAGGAUAGUUUAAGAGAACUCUGGGAUGUCAUGAAAGACACUAAUACUCAUUACAGGGGUCCCAGAAAGAGGAGAGAGGGACAAAGGGCUUGAGAAAAGUUUUGAAGAGGUAAUAACCUUGGGAAAGGAAAGUGUCACCCAAGUCCAGGAAGUGCAGAGAGUCCCACACAGGCUCAGCCCAAAGAGGAGCACACCAAGGUCCACAGUAAUCAGAUUUACAGGUCUUAGGGAAAAACACUAAAAUCAGCAAGAAAAAGCAACAAAUAACAUACAAGGGAACUCUCCAUAAGGUUGGUUAUCAGCUGAUUUUUCAGAAACUACAGGCCAGAAGGGAGGGAGGGGCACAAUACACUUAAAGUGAUAAAAAGGAGAAACUUAUAACCAAGAAUACUUUUCCCAGCAAGCCUCUUGCGUAGACUUCAUGGAGAAAUCAAAAGCUUCACAGAUAAACAAAAGGUGAAAGAAUUCAACACUACCAAACCAGCUUUACAACACAUGUUUAAGGAAAUUCACUAGUCAUCAAACCACAAGAAGAGAGAACGAAAAGAAGAGAAAAAGACCUACAAAAACAAACCCAGAACAAUUUUUUAAAUGGCAAUAAGAAUAUACAUCAUAAUAAUUACCUUAAAUGUAAAUGGAGUAAAUGAUCCAAACAAAAGACACAGACUAGCUGAAUGGCUACAAAAAGAAGACCCAGUAUCUGCUGUCUACAGGAGACCCACCUCAGAGGCAGAGACACAUGCAGGCUGCAAGUGAGGCGAUGGAAAAAGAUACUCCACGCAGACAGAAGCCUGAGGAAAGCUAGUAGCAAUACUUACAUCAGACAAAACAAUUUGAAGACUGUUACGAGAGACAGAGGAGGACACUACAUAAUGUUCAAGGGACCAAUCCAAGAAGAGGAUAUAACCAUUGUAAAUAUAUAUGCACCCAACAGAGGAGCACCUCACUAUAAUAGGCAAGUGUUAACAGACAUAAAAGGAGAAAUUGACAGUAACAGUGGGGACCUUAACACCCCACUCCCAUCAGACAGAGCAUUCAGUCAGUCAGUCAGUCAAUAAGGAAAUACAGGCACAUUGGACCAGAUGGACUUAAUUGAGAUCUGUAGAACAUUCCAUCCUAAAGCAGCAGAACACACAUUCUUCUCAGGUGCACAUGGAACAUUCUCCAGAAUCAACCACAUGCUGGCCCACGAAGCCAGCCUCAGUGAGUGUAAGAAAACUGGAGUCAUACCAAGUGUCUUUUCCAGCCAUAAUGCUAAGGUUAGAAAUCAUCUACAAGAAAACAAUUGCAAAAACUGCAAACACAUGGUGGCUAAAUGAUAUGCUACUAAACCACCAACAGAUCACUGAAGAAAUCAAAGAGGAAACAAAAACUACUUUGAGAGAAAUGAAAACAAAAACGCAUCGAUCCAGAACCUCUGGGAUGCAGCAAAAGCAGUUCUAAGAUGGAUGUUUAUAGCAAUACAAGCUUACCUCAGGAAACGUGAAAAAUCUCAAGUAAACUACCCAACCUUAUACCUAAAGCAGCUAGAGACAGAAGAACAAACAAAACCUAAAGUUAGUAGCAGAAAUAAAUGAAAUAGAGACUAAAAAUACACCAAGAGAUCAAUGAAACUGUAAGCUGGUUCUUUGAAAAGAUAAACAAGACCGAUAAACCUUUAGUCAGAAUCAUCAAAAAAGGGGGGGGGGUCCAAAUCAAUAAAGAGAGAUUACAGCCGAUACCACAGAAAUACAAGGGAGCAUAAGAGGCUGCUAUGAGCAACUAUACACCAAGAAAAAGGACAACCUAGAAGAAAUGGACAAUUUCUUAGAAAGGUUCAAUCUGACAGGAGUGAACCAGGAAGAAAUAGACUGUGAAGACCAGUCACCAGAACUUAAAUUGAAUCCGCAAUCUAAAAACUCCCACCGAACAAAUGUCCAGGACCAGAUAGCAUCAAAGGUGAGUUCUACCACCAUUUAGAGAAGAGUUAACACCCACUCUGAAACUAUUCCAAGAAAUUGCAGAGGAAGGAACAUUUCCAAACUCAUUCUAUGAGGUCAUCAUUACCCUGAUACCAAAACCAGACAAAGAUGUCGCACACACAAAAAUUAUGGGCACACAUGAAUAUAGAGGGAAGUCGACUCCAACAGUGCAUUAAAGGGAUCAGACAUCAUGAUCAAGCAGGAUUUAUCCCAGGGAUGCACGGAGUUUUCAGCAUCUGCAGAUCAGUGUGAAACACCACAGUAACAAACUGAAGAGUAAAAACUGUAUGAUCAUUCCAAUAAAUGCAGAAAAAGCUUUUGAUAAAAUUCCGACAUUCAUUGAUGAAAACUUCAGAAAGUGGGCGGAGACAGAAUAUAUCUCAACAUAACAAAGGCCAUAUAUGACAAACCCACAGCUAACAUUAUACUUAACAGGGAAAAGCUGAAGGCAUUUCCUCUAAGAUCAGGAACAAGACGAGGAUGACCACUCUCACUUUUAUUUGCUAUGGUUUGGACCUCCAAAAUAAUAUUAAUCAGUCGGAGAAAAAAAAAAAAAAGAAAUGAAUCCAAAUUGGAAAGGAAGAAGUAAAGUGUCACUAUUUGCAGAUGACAUGACACUACACAUAGAAAACCCUAAAGAAGCGGCCAGAAAACUACUGUAACUCAUCAAUGAAUUUGGCAGAGUUGCAGGAUACAAAAUUAAUAUACAGAAAUUAGUUGCAUUUCUAUACACUAGCAGUUAAGUAGCAGAAAAAGAAAUUAAGGAAACAGUAACAUUUACCAUUGCACCAAAAAGAAUAAAAUACCUAGGAAUAAACCUACCCCAGGAGGCAAGAGACCUGUACUCUGAAAACUAAGACAUUGAUGAAAAAAACUGAAGACAACAUAAACAGAUGGAAAGAUAUACUGUGUUCUUAGAUUAGAAGAAUCAAUACUGUUAACAUGGCCAUACUACCGAGGCAAUGUGCAGACUCGGUGCAAUCCCUAUCAAAUUACCAAUGACACCUUUCACAGAGCUGGAACAAAAAAAAGUUAAAAUUUGGAUGGAGACACAAAAGACCCCGAAUAGCCAAAACAAUCCUAAAAAGAGGAAUGGAGCUGGGGGAAGUCAUGCUCCCUGACUUCAGACUAUACUGAAAACUACAGUGAUCAAAACAAACAGGAUAGAAAGCCCCCAAAUAAACCCACACACUUAUGGUCAAUUCAUCUCCGAUAAAGCGGGCAGGAAUACACCAUGGAGAAAAGACAGUCUCUUCAAUAAGUGGUGCUGGGAAAACUGGACCCCUAUCUGUUAAAGACCAAAAUUAGAACAUUCUCUAAUACCAUAUACAAAAAUAAACUCAAAAUGGAUUCAACUUAAUUUGUUUUAUAUUAAAGAUGUAUUUUUUUAAAUUGUUCUUAUUUGGGGUGGGGGAGGUAAUUAGGUUUAUUUUUUUAAUGGAGGUACUGGAGACUGAACCUAGGACCUGGUGCUUACUAGGCACAUACUCUACCACAGACUAUACCUUUAAAUGUAAGAUAGUAUAAAAUUCCUAGAGUAAAACAUGGGCAGAACACUCUUGGACAUAAAUCACAGCAAUAUAUUUUUGGAACGAGCUCCUGGAGUAAUGGAAAUAAAAGUGAAAAUAAACAAAUGGGACCUAAUUAAAAGCUUUUGCACAGUUAAGGAUACCAUCAACAGAACAAAAAGACAACCUACAGGAUGGGACAGAAUAGUUGGAAAUGAUGCAACAGACAAGGGACUAAUUUCCAAAAUACACAAACAACUCAUACACCUUAAUAUCAAAAAACAAGCAACCCAAUCAACAAAUGGGCAGAAGAACUAAACAGACACCUCUCCAAAGAAGACAUACAGAUGGCUAACAAGCAGAUGAAAAGAUGCUCAACAUCACUGAUUGUUAGAGAAAUGCAAAUCAAAACUACAAUGAGGUAUCACCUCACAACAGUCAGAAUGGCCAUCAUUCAAAGGACUACAAAUGAUAAAUGCUGGAGAGGCUGUGGAGCAAAAGGAAACCUCCUACACCGUUGGUGGGAAUGUAAAUUAGUGCAGUCACUUUGGAGGACAGUGUGGCAGUUCCUUAAAAAAACUAAAAAUAGACUUCCCAUAUGAUCCAGCAAUCCCCCUCCUGGGCAUAUAUCUGGAGAAAAAUCUAAUUCAGAAAGACAUUUACACCCCAGUGUUCACAGCAGCACUAUUUACAAUAGCCAAGACAUGGAAACAACCCAUAUGUCUAUCAACAGAUGACUGGUUAAAUAAGGUGUGGUAUGUUUAUACAAUGGAAUACUACUCAGCCAUAAAAAAGAAUACAAUAAUGCUAUUUGCAGCAACAUGGAUGGACCCAGAGAUCAUCAUUCUAAGUGAAGUGAGCCAGAAAGAGAAAGAAAAAUACAUAUUACUCCUAUGUGGAAUCUUAAAUAAAAAAAGAAAAACUAACUUACCAAAUAAACAGACUCACAGACAUAAAAGACAAACUUGUGGUUACCAGGGGUGGGGGUGGGGAAGGUAUAGAUUGGGAGUUAGAGAUUUGCUGAUACCAACUAAUAUAUAUAAAAUAGAUAAACAAGUUCAGACUGUAUAGCACAGGGAGCUAUAUUCAAUAUCUUGUAGUAACAUGGUGAAAAGGAAUAUGAAAAUGAAUAUAUGAAUGUCUAUGUAUCACUAGCAGUAUGCUGUACACGAGAAGUUCACACAUUGUUAACUGACUGUACUUCAAGUAAAAAACACACACACACACACAACAAACGUCGUAUAAACGGAUGAUUCUACCCAUAACCAAUGUUUUCUAAGAAAAUUUGGGGAUAAACAUUAGUAAAGUUUUCACUAUAGACUUUAGGAAACAUUACUUCUAAUUCCCAGUUAUUCUGUCUCUUCAUCAAUAUUCCAGCAGGUCCCCCCACAGUAAAGUCUGGGCACCCGAUAAUAUCACAACUCCAAGUAACAAAGAGAUAACUUCCUGUUCAUCUACAUAAUCAAAUUCUGAUUAUCCUUGCUAACAGCAACAAGGACAGUCUUUAAUAUCACCACGUGGAGGACUGUUAUUUAAAAGCUUGGCUUUUAUCUGGAUUGAGACAACAGUUAGAAAUCUUCAGCCCUGGCCACACAAAGACAAACGUGCUUCCCUUUUCAGCUGCUGGGAUGGGAGGGUAUGGUCACACUGAAAUCCUACUGCACAGCAAUGAAAGUGAAAAAUAAACUUGAAGAACAAGAGGUCUGUUGUGAAAACUUUCAGUCACGCCUCGAAGGCAGGCUGUCUCCACCAUGACAAAGCAGUUUCCUUUUUUUAAUGGCCUGCUCCAGGGUAGGAAGAGAGAUGACUCAGAUCAUUUGCUGCCGGCUCCCCUCCCCCCAAGGCAGGCCAGAGUAACAACCCUUUCAUCAUGGUGAAACGCUUCAUCAGCACCCAGCAGAGCAGGAGCCGUCUAAGACAGUCACAGCCUUUGUUGCCUGCUGUCUUCCACUUGAUGAGCUGAUGCAAACACACUGGGUCAAGGAGAACCAGCUGAGGAGCUGAGUUCUGUCCUUGGCGGGACACCAGGCUACUCUUAGAAGGACCGAAGGACUGAGAGGGUGCUCAGCCAGGCCCAUGCUUCCCAAUGAGGUUAGCAUGCUGCCUUCUCACAGCUUUGGAUUCUCGAGGUUCCUGCCGCUCAGUCCUGCCUCAUUAUCUCGCUCCACCUCUGAGUGCCUGCUUCCCGCCCUGCGGGGACGACUCCCCCUGGUCUAUGGUUUGCAACAUUUUCCUGUCUCUGAAUAAGCUGGUUAUGUAAACCAGUGAAAAGACAUGGCUAGGUUCCAACCCCCAGGGGUUCUCAUUCGGUAGGCCUGGGUGGAGCCUGAGAAUGUGCCUUCCUGACAAGUUCCCAGGGGAGGCUGAUGCUGCGGGUUUGGGGACCACACUGGAAUCACUACCAGGCCUCGGCUCUCUAGAAACCUUCUUCCUGGAUCCUUCUCGUUUAAUUCACUUCAUAGAGUGGGUGAUGGGAUCUGGCACCUCACACCCUCUGGGGGGCCAUCUCUCCCCCUCUGACUUCAUUUUCCUUAUCUGUAAAAUGGGGACAAUCCUUUCCUUAAGAGGUGUCAGUCCUAAGACCCCUCUUGUAAGACACAUCCCAGGGACUGAGUAUCUGGCAACGACCAGUGUGCCUGGCUGCCCUUUCUUUGCCCUCCCCUUGCACUUUCCACCUAGUAUGAACUUGACUUAAAUUGUAUUACUCAUUGAGGUCCUGCCUCCCAGAUUAGAUUAUAAUUUGGAAAAGGAUGUGAAUCUUAAGCAUCUCGGCUCUAGCCCCGAAUUCUACGUUCAACGCCUCAAGGACAUUUAUUGAUGAUGUUGAUAAAGAAACCACCCUCACUGCACUCACCCUAAAUGACUCCCACAGUGCCACAUAAUGGAAAACAAGCCAACAAGCAAAAAGCCUGAAGGAAAAGAAUGAAGAAGCAAUGGACUCAGAACAGAGAGCCCUGAUCCCUGCUGAGGCACGCAAGGUGGCCAAAGGGAAAUAAUUUAUAACCAUCACAGCAGAAUAAAGACAAAGCUGACCAGAUGCCAACUAUUCUCUUACCCCUUUGCCUCUGGAAAAUAGGAAUUAUUUCCUGCAGCAAAUCAAGAAGGCCCAGCACAGUCUUCUAAUUCCAUCUGAUGCUAUGGGGAGGAUGGACGCAGGGACAGGCCCCAAAAAGGAAAGGAGGAAAUGCGGGGUGGGGCUUGAAAGCGGGGUGGGAGGGGAAGAAAAUGCACCCGAGACGUCCUCUGGCAUUCUCAGAUCUAUCUGUUAGCACUUGGCGAGGCACCUGGGAAACCAAACCGGAUUUCUGCAGCCUCGUAUCUUUUGGACGUAACUGCGAGUUUGCUGACUGAUGCUGAUGCUCCCUUGCAACUGUUCCUCCAUCUUCAUCUGGCAUAAAAGAACAGCAGACAGGAAGCCUGGACCUUCUGUCUUCCCCUCAUCCAGAAUACAGCUGAGUUCCUUCAUUUUCUGUCUCUCCUUGGACCCCCUAAGCCUGCAGCCAUGCAGCCUGAGUGGACAAUGGACAUGGAAGUCUCCUGGGCCGGCAAGCUCUGGGUGAGGAAGCUGAGGUUCAGACAGCUAAGAAGGCACCUGCAGGAUCCCACACAGAAUUUCUCAUCGACUGGGGACUACAUCCCAUUUCCCUGUUAGUCACUUUGCCAGCAUCCAUGCUAUAGUGCUUCCUCAAAAUAAGACAGACGGACUAAGAAUAUUUUUGUUUCCCAACCACACGUGUCAGCUCUGCCGCUGUUACAUUACCACCACGAGCUUGGAGGAUAUGCCUUGUGUAUUUAAACUGGAGCUCACAAACCUGUUUCCAGUAGCUCCCAGCAGACCUUUCUGAGAUAAAACAUGGGAGGGCGUCAGGCGGAAAGAAAAUAAAAGUCUGGAGAUUCAAGGGACUUAUCAUGAGUUGCAAAAAAAACAGCAUCAAAUCAUCUCUUUUGAAAUCAUCAGCCCGAUUGCACCCCAGUGUUGAGAUACAGAUAUCAGCAGUCAGUCACUGACAGGCAGCAUUCCCAGGAGGUCAUGCAGUGGAACUGUACCUUAAACGAAGAACAAACUGGGCGUUGAUAAUACCAGGAAGGACCCCAAAUGACAAGAGAAGUUCCUGGGACCACUCCCUCCAGCUGACAAGGUUCAGGCUCCAGUAGCGCACGUUGCCUGUGAGCCCAGCGUGGUCAUGCAACACCGUCCACGCGGACACGACCGUGGGGGACACGACUGUGGGUGCUGCAGUGGCGGUGCUCUUCUGACCUUGGUUUAUAUGCAAAGUCUGAUCUCGUGUAGCGAAAGGCAGCAGAAGCAGCUCUGAACAUGAGCGAGGCACAGCGCCCAGUGCAGCAGGGGUGGGAGAGGCCAGCUGGUCGCACCUGGGGAGCGCGCACCCAGGCAGGGGCCAUUUGGAAAGGCAGGCAGGUCCAGGCGCCCAGCAUGGGCGGAACACCGAUUCCUGGGUUGUAACUCUAAGACAGCCAAGUAGAGGCUCUGCUUCGCCUUUAUCACCGAAGACUCAGAGAAAGGCGAGGCCUCUUUCUGUUCCCAUGUAAGCAACAGACCUGGUCCCCUGCUCUGUCUUGUCUCUUAAUCAAAGCUGUGCUCACCCUGCCAGGGGCUGCGUCAUGGGACUCAGAACAAAGAGCUCCCCUUCAUCUAACGCUGUCUCAGAGCAAAGGGGGCUGAGGGAACCCUGGGUUCACGCAGAUGCCUUUCCAUCUUCUCCUGGUGACUUACUGGACGGAGCCCCUCGCAUCACGUCACAGAUGGAUAAAAGCAGCGGUGCCCUCUCAGCUCCCGGGGGUGGCUGCUCUCCCUGGGGACCCACCUCCCGCCGCCUCAGGCUGUCACAGCGCAUCCCAGCACCCAGACCUCCUGAGAUGCUUGCCGAACGACAGACACCCUUCCACUUUAUGAAUGUUUCUAACCUAACCAUUUUGUACUAUCUUUUUGUGCUCAAUGAUUAAGUGAGUGAUUUUAGGAGAAAAGUCUAUUUCCAAUGAACGUAUUACUGAUUGUGUUACAGUUCUCUUUCAAGUGCAGUAUUUAAUAGCCCUCAUGAUUUAUCUGGACCAGUUUUACUUUGCCCCAUUUAACAAGUGACCCAUGAUGUUUCAUUGCUUCCUAUUUAAUGAUGUAAGUAAAAAAAAAUUAUGGUUUGUGAACAAGUGUCUUUGAAAAUGUUGAGCUUGGGGACUAAACGAAUAAUAAAAUGGGCAUUUCAGUGAAAGGCAUGUUAAAGUAUCAAAGUGGGGAGGGAGGAAGAGGGUACAGCUCAGUGGAAGAGCACAUGCUUAGCUUGCACAAAGUCCUGGAAUCAAUCCCCAGUCCCUCUACUUAAAAAACAAUUUACCAAACUAGAUUUUUUAAAAAUGAUUUUUGACUUGAUGUUUGGAAAUGCUCCACUUCAUGCAUUAGCAAUCAACUGGCUAGUUUUGAUGAUUUUCGUGUUUUGUUUCCAAUUGAUGAGGUAAGACAGAAGGAUCCCUGCAAACACGUACCCACACAGAACCCACGGUUGGUGACAGACAGCCUUGACUCUUCCUAAACAAACAAACCAAAUUGGAUAUAAAUGUCAUUAUUUUCCUCUCUCAAACUUUGGAGUGUAUUUAUUUAUUUAUUCCUAAUCAUCAAUUUUAUUUAAUAUAUAUUGUCCAAAGGGACACAGAAUAAAGGUUAAAA